rnacentral:rRNA from 1 species
AGUGGGGAAUCUUGGACAAUGGGGGCAACCCUGAUCCAGCCAUGCCGCGUGAACGAUGAAGGCCUUAGGGUUGUAAAGUUCUUUCACCGGGGAAGAUAAUGACGGUACCCGGAGAAGAAGCCCCGGCUAACUCCGUGCCAGCAGCCGCGGUAAUACGGAGGGGGCUAGCGUUGUUCGGAAUUACUGGGCGUAAAGCGCACGUAGGCGGAUUGAUCAGUCAGGGGUGAAAUCCCGGGGCUCAACCCCGGAACUGCCUUUGAUACUGUCAGUCUGGAGAUCAUGAGAGGUGAGUGGAAUUCCGAGUGUAGAGGUGAAAUUCGUAGAUAUUCGGAGGAACACCAGUGGCGAAGGCGGCUCACUGGCAUGAUACUGACGCUGAGGUGCGAAAGCGUGGGGAGCAAA